UUAAUGGAGAGUUUGAUCCUGGCUCAGGACGAACGCUGGCGGCGUGCCUAAUACAUGCAAGUCGAGCGGACCCUUCGGGGUUAGCGGCGGACGGGUGAGUAACACGUAGGCAACCUGCCUGUAAGACUGGGAUAACUACCGGAAACGGUAGCUAAGACCGGAUAAGUGAUUCUCUCGCAUGAGGGAAUCAAGAAACACGGGGCAACCUGUGGCUUACAGAUGGGCCUGCGGCGCAUUAGCUAGUUGGUGGGGUAACGGCUCACCAAGGCGACGAUGCGUAGCCGACCUGAGAGGGUGAUCGGCCACACUGGGACUGAGACACGGCCC
rnacentral:rRNA from 1 species